AGAGUUUGAUCAUGGCUCAGAAUCAACGCUGGCGGCGUGCCUCAGACAUACAAGUCGAACGAUUAAGACUUCCUUCGGGAAGUGCAUAAAGUGGCGCACGGGUGAGUAACACGUAAGUAAUCUACCUUCGAGUGGGGAAUAACGUUCGGAAACGAACGCUAAUACCGCAUAAUGCAGCGGCAUCGCAAGAUGACAGUUGUUAAAGGAAUUUAUUUCGCUUGAAGAGGAGCUUGCGGCAGAUUAGCUAGUUGGUAAGGUAACGGCUUACCAAGGCUACGAUCUGUAUCCGGUCUAAGAGGACGGUCGGACACACUGACACUGAAUAACGGGUCAGACUCCUACGGGAGGCAGCAGUCGGGAAUUUUGGGCAAUGGGCGAAAGCCUGACCCAGCAACGCCGCGUGAAGGAUGAAGUAUUUCGGUAUGUAAACUUCGAAAGAAUGGGAAGAAUAAAUGACGGUACCAUUUAUAAGCUCCGGCUAACUACGUG
rnacentral:rRNA from 1 species